CCGAGACAGCAAGACCAACACCUUUUCUUCUUUCUCCUCCUCAGCCUACUCAACAUGAAGACGAGUGAAGACCUUUAUAAUGAUCCACUUCCACUUAAUGAAUACAGCACCAUAUGGCAGUGACAGCACCUUCUGCAAGAAGAGAAACUCUAAACCAAUUACAACAAUAUCAUUUCUGUGUUGAACCAUAAGUCAUUGGAAACCCACUGCAACCAUGCUUCCAUAAUAGCAGCUGGAAUCUCCAAUUCUACAGAGAAAAGGAAUGUUGAAGUAACAUACAUGUAGCUUUGAGGAGGAGGCACGUGCAUUCAAGCUCAUGGAGAGGAUUGACAGCCACAGACAGGCACUCAUAAGAACUGAAUGUAAAUCAUCAAAGAGAAUAUACUCAGGAGGCACUGUCUACCAUAGGACGAAAGCCCUCAUCAGAUGCUUACAUCAUGAUCUUGGACUUCCCAGCCUCCAGACUGUGUUGGAGGUGGGACCUGGUAGGAGGUGAUUGGCUCAUGGGGGAGGAUCUUCAUGAUGAUGCUAUGGAAGAUCAGAAAAUAUAAAUUUAUGAACUGCUAUAAACUGUUAUUUUCUUCGUGAAGAUCAGCACAACAAGAUGUUCCAGACUUAUUCAACAUAUUGUCCAGCCAGUCCUGGAAACAAUCAGUUCCCUGAGGACAGAAUUAAAGUUUAGAGACCUGAAUCUGGGCCCCAGGGGUGGUCAUUACUACUGGUUUGCCACUGCUUCUGUAGCUUUUCAGUGAAGAGGUAGUUAUGUAAUAUGUAUCUAAAAAAAUAAAUUCAAGUUAUGUAUUUUAAAAAUAAAUUCAAGGUCUAUAUAUUUUAGAAAAAGGAAAAAUCAUGUGUUCAUGUUAAUAUUUAUAUUUAAAUAUAUAAUUACAUGUCUUAAUUUAUGUUGUUCUACCUUGAUAAUUCUAUACCUCUAUUAUUUUGCUUUUAUACCUUUUCUCCCCAAAUUUUCUUAAAUUGAAACUCUUGGUUCCUAAUUACAUGUACAUACUUAUUUAUCUUAUACCAUAUACAUAUAGUAAUUUCAAAAUAACAAUACAAACAUUAUUAUCAUUAACAAUAAUGCUGCCGAAUAAAGCUUGUGAUUUCUUUGUG
rnacentral:lncRNA from 1 species